AGGGGGCGGAGCGUCGCCGGGCAGAGAGGAGCCCUCUUCUCUCCCUCGCGCAGUAGUUGCGGCUUCCCCCGCCUCCCUCGCUCGCGGGAAUCCGGGUACCGCGGCCACAUCGGGUCGGCCCCUUCCACUCCCUCCGGGCGCGCGGCCUGGGCAUGCAGCUCCUGCGGGGAUUGAAGAUCUGGGGGCUCGGCGCCUCCGCAGGCCUGGUCGCCGCGGCCCGAGCCCCCGCCGCCUGCCGCGGCCACCGCCCCCCGCUCCGCCCCAGCGCGCCGCCGCCCGGCCCCCAGCCCCGCCCCGCCUCCCGCCUCCGCCCCGCGCCCAGUCCCUGGCCGCAGCGCCCGGCCGCUGUCGCCGGCUGCAGAGGCCUGCCGCCCGCUAGCGCCGCCACCAUGGAGCACCCCGGAGCCGGAGGAAUAAAUUCCAAUGAGUGUGAAAAUGUGUCAAGAAAAGAGGAAAUGUCAGAAGAAUUUGAAGCUGACGCUAUGGAGUCUCUGGCGGAUUUGCCAUUUGCUACUGUAGAUAUUAAAGAUGAUUAUGAAAUCAUUGAUGUACCGCAAAGAAAUUUGGAGAGAAAUAAAGAAAAUGAAUGGAACAAUAAAGAACAAAUAAAGAAGAAGAAAAAAAGGGAAAAAGAUUAUCAACCCAACUAUUUUCUGUCCAUUCCCAUCACUAACAAAGAGAUUGUAAAAGGAAUUAAAAUCCUGCAAAAUGAAAUAAUACAACAAGAUCAGCGACUGGCCAAAGCAAUGAGCCGUGACGGUUCCUUUCAUAUUACCCUGCUAGUGAUGAAGUUAUUAAAUGAAGAUGAAGUGAACAUUGGUAUUGACGCCCUUUUGGAACUAAAACCAUUCAUAGAAGAAAUCCUGCAAGGAAAACCUUUGACUUUGCCCUUUGAAGGGGUUGACACUUUUGGAAAUCAGGUUGGAUUUGUCAAGCUGGCCAAAGGAGAUCACAUAAACCCACUUUUGGAGAUUGCAGAUACUGCAAAAAGGACAUUUCAAGAAAAAGGCGUCUUGGCAGGAGAAAGCAAAACUUUCAAGCCUCAUUUGACCUUCAUGAAAUUGUCCAGAACACCAUGGCUCCGGAAGAAGGGAGUGAAAAAAAUAGACCCCAAAGUCUAUGAAAAAUUCAUCAGUCACAGAUUUGGAGAAGAAGUGGUACAUUGCAUAGAUCUGUGCUCCAUGCUGAAGAAAAAACAAAGUAAUGGUUAUUAUCACUGUGAGUCAUCAAUUGUGAUUGAAAGAGGCCAUCAUCGCCGAUCUUCUCAGUGGUGCUUCUAGAUUUGGGGCAUUUUCUGGGCUGCUGAUAAUACUUGAUGCUCUGAUUUGAAAAUUCAUAGUAUUGAUUUAAUGCAUGAAGAGAGCAGCAAAGCAGUGUUUCAGAAAGCAGGUAUUUAACUUUAAAAGAUGUGCUGUAAAGUGCAGACAAUUGAUGUUCUCUUUUAACCUUCCCCAACCCCCACCCUGGUCAUUUCUACAGUUCUGGCAGUUUUUUAAGUAGUUCCUGGUACUUCAUUCAAGUUGUGUUUUCCGUGUUGUGCAAAGUCAGGUUCCCAAUUCCCAAAACAAAGAAACAAAAAUCUCCUGGGGAUAAAAGAAAGCUCUUCCUCUUUAAAUAGCAGACAGAAAAUAUGAGGCAUUUUUUUUUCCCCUUUGGAUUUCCCUGUGUAAUUACCGUAUUUGUCUGCAGGAGAAAGGACUCCUUGUGGUUUCUUCUCGAUUACCUUUCUUAAAGACACAUCCACGUAUCCGCAUCGCGCACGUGGCUUUCCUCCCGGGGUCAGAGCUCCCAGUUUUGUGAGAAUUCGGCGAGCAUAUGGCCACUUGUUUCCCCGAAAGCCAGUCCCGGAGCGGUAGGAGCGGUGGCGUUGGGCUGGAGUCCGGGGAGGUGGAGCCUUUUUGCUCGCUGCAGCCGGUCCCCCCCUCCUCCGCCUCUGUCUCUGCCGUCGGUCGCCGCGCAUCCUGUGCAUCGGCUCUUCGUGCUCCGCGUGCAGCUCCGGCUCCGCGGCGGGGAAGAGGCAGGGUGUGCUCGCAGACCGUGGGGUAAACUGCAGUCGCUCUUUGGGGAGCCCCGGGAGAACACCUGGAAGGAGGGAGAACACCGGUACCAUGGGCCAGCUCUGCUGCUUUCCUUUCUCAAGAGAGGAGGAAAAAAUCAUUGGAUUGACGGCAACAUUUAUGCUGCUGAUCUGCCUUGGUGAACAUGGCCUUCAGAACAGGAAAGUGACAUUUAUUUCUGCUUGAGUCAACUCCUAACCUGGAAUAUCAGCCUCGAAAGAGAAGUGCAUAUUCUCAUGAGCAGGUGAUAAGAAUGGAGGUGAGCCCGAUGAUGCUGAAUUGGUAAGGCUCAGUAAGAGGCUGGUGGAGAAUGCGGUGCUCAAGGCCGUCCAGCAGUAUCUGGAAGAAACACAGAACAAAAACAAGCCAGGGGAUGGGAGCUCUGUGAAAACUGAAGAGGCUGAUAGGAAUGGCACUGACAGUGACAACAACAGGAAAUGAGACCCGAAUGCAGGCAGGCCCCCACUGCUCCGUGAGAAGCAACCCUGCUCCCCUCUGCCGAGUCAAUGGACUGAUUUGCAUCGUGCUGUUUAAGUAUCCGUUGUCCAGUCUGUGGAGAUUGCCUAAUAUUUUCAUGAUCGGUGUGUUUGCAUUUCUGAAACACAGCAGACGAGAAAUGCAGUGCUGCCUAUCAGAGGAAAUUAAUUGAUGAAGGAAGAAUGGCCCAGGUGUCACUUGCCCUCUGCUGUGGUCAAGGGAGAGGGGACUUUGGGUUCUGCCCUGUGAACUCAAAGUAAAGGCCAUGGAAGGGGCCUUGCCAUAAAUGGAAUACUGCCACUUAUAUUGCUGAGCAGGGCAUUUGACUACCUUAUCUCGGCCAAAAGGCACAAAGCUAACAAGUGCUACAUUUCAAACGAUCACUGUUGAAAUUACUCUCCAUCUAGUUAGCUAUAUUGUUUCAUGUUUGUCCUGUGUGUGCUGUCACUAUGCAGUGAUCUUUAUUUACAGUAAAUUUGUUUCAUGUAAAUGAUAUAUUUUUGGUGAAAUGCAACCUUUUCUAUAAAAUGUGGGCAGCAUUUUAAAGGUUUCUUUUUAACCCUCUUUUGAUAAGUCACUGUGCCACGUUUAGUGUUUUUCAUUGGUAUUCAUAUGUAAAAUGUAUUAUAUAAUUUUUUUUCUCCAUAGGCAAGAAACCUGUGGGAAUCCGGGACUUAAUUAAUGAAGCUUUGCGUCGAGAAAGGAUGGGUCUGAAGUCCAAAGUGAAACAGAUAAAGGAACUUAUGUUAAGGCCUGAGACUCAGGCCAGAAUUAGGAGGGAGCUUUUGGAAGGAAGAUCCAUUAACCACAGUUAUCAAGGAAAAGAGGUUGAUUAUUUCAGCACAAUUUUGACAUAAGCUCUACAUUGCUCUCAUGGUACCAGAGUUUAUGAAAUCUUUUCAGUUCAUUAAAUGGCUCUUUGGUAAAUACCAAAGAAGAUAGUGUCUGCACAAUAGCAGACCAACAUUUGGUAAGGAAUUAAUCAUUUCUUGCCAAAGAAAACUGAUUCUUCCCUGUUAUUUUUAAGUCAGAUGUGUUUUAGAAUGUUUAUCUCUAAUAUCAAAAUUCAUUUUAUAGAAAAGACUUCUUAACUAGCUGUUGUGAGAUGGUCUUUGGGUCCUCACAGAUAAAAUGUACAGACUGUGAAAAAUCAUUUACAGACAAAAAAAAAAAAUACAGCAUUUUAAGGUCACUGACAUGAUUUUUGUUAAAUCAAAAGAAGCAUUGUUCUCAUGUAUCUAUAUCUCGUGUGACUUUUAAUGAGACUUUGAAUGUUUAUUGAUCACUGGUACUUGAAUGAACAUUUAUAAAUGUAAAUGUAAUUAUUGUAAUCACUGGUUACGAAUGUUUUAUAACGUCCAUAUGUAUUACUUUUCAAUGAUCAAAAUGUAGUUUGCUUUUUCAUUUCUUAAUGAAUGUUCGGGAUUUUUAUUUUCUACUUUUAUGAAGAUAAGCCCCAGGUCUUACUGUAUCCCUUAUAAUCUGAAUUUGUUUGCACUGGUUCAUUUUUAAAGACAAUUCUUAAAAAUUUUCCCUCCCUAUGAUCAUCACUGGUAACAGCUUUUUCUAUAGUCAUUGUAAAAUCGCUGCUACUAAGAGAUCAUGAUGCAGGGGGAAAUUAUUGGAGAUCAAAUAUGUAGUCAUUUCAAAUAUAAAAUCCAGUUUACUCAUGGAUUUUAGCUAUUUUUUCACUGGGUAAAUUAUAAUUAUAUUACAUUUAUUUAUAAGUGAGUUUAUGCAUUUUCAUGCCUCUUAAUAAAUGCAUUGUUUUCCCUUG